rnacentral:lncRNA from 1 species
UUUGUUUUUGUUUGUUUUUUUGUUUUUUUGUUGCUUAGGCUGCUUAAAACUAGGCCAUUAUAUUAUAAUGCAGUAGACACUGCUUUUCAUGUAUAAAAGAUAAGUUAUUUUACUUUACAGGUUUUGACAUGACAAAGCACAUCAGAGUUUAUGAUAACACCAAUCAAUAUCUGACAAUACACAACCGUGACAUGGAAAUUCUGAAAGAUGCUUUUAGAAAUAUUGCAUCCUUGGACAAUUGGACUGUGUCUAGUCCACAGCAAUGGCAGAGAGACGAUGGAAGGAACUGUGGUGUUUUCGUAUGCACAAUGGCAGAGAUGGAAGCUAAAAGUAUUAAAAUGUGCCACGAAAUUCUGCACACUGAACAGAUGGGAUACCUUCAUCUUUACCAUGCCUCAUGCAUGGUGAAACAUCUGCAACCAGAGGUAACCCUUGACAAUUAAAAGGUAAAAGGUUUACAGUUUACAGAGUAUGCAAAGCUCAACGUGAAAGUUUAUCCUAGGACUUUCCACCCAAAGUCAAAAUAGUCCAGACCAGCUGUAUGGCCCAUGUAGGAGUUUGCAUUUAUCAAAAAUAUUGAUCAAAGUAUGUGAUAACUAUUUAAUUUCCUUAUGAACUACAAUUUAAUAAAAGCAGUUACACUCAUUGUUAUCAUUUAUCUGUAUGCAGAGUAAUGCACCCACGAAUCCAGUCAGUGGACUGGAUUCAAUAUGACCUCUGCAAAAAAUGCCUGCAUUCUGACUGCGCAUGUAUCAGCCUUGAAACGAUCACAGAGGAAACAUCAUUCAGAUGUGGAUGUGACACUAACCAUGUGCAUACCUUUGAGAAGUACGUUAUACUUUAAAUUAUAUAUUUUUUUAUUAAAAAGUACAAUAUAUGUUUAAUACUACUUUGAUUUGACAGAACAUUGGCACUACUGAAGAAGGGCUGGUUGGUUGACAUUGUAAUACAGGAUCAAGACGUGUGUGUAGGAUGGCCGAACUUAAGGCCCGGGUACACUUCACAUUCAGCGUUCCUUUCUGUCUCGCACACAGCCACGUCUGUACCGCUUUCAAAAACUGGCUGUUUUUUGCCUUAUUGCAACUCUCUGUUCUGGACUUGCACAAACUGUAUUGCAAUGCAAUCAUUUUCCAAAAUGUCAUUAAUGUGAAAAUAUGAAGUCUGUUGACGCCCGUUAACACAGGCCAGAGACGCUGAAGACGGACGCACAGCGAAAAAUACCGUAGCAGGCAGAUCACUCAAUGUUCAUGAUGCACGAACUAUUGGAAGAAAAUCCUUAAUAUUGAUUUGGGGGUUUAUAUGAAUGUGUUUCUGAGGGGAGCUGACUGUCUUCUGAAAAGUUUACUUAAUAUAAUUUCACAAAGCUUGUCAGAACAUUCUGUUUUUGCUUCAAAUUGGGUUAUUAUUAAAUCAAAUUGUGUAUGAUUAUUAUUAUAUAACUAAAUGAUAUGAAAUUAUAUAAAUGAUAUGUAUAUGAAUUAUAUAACUAAAAUUAAAUAACUGUAAUUACAGAUUUAGGUUAAAUAAAGAUGUCAGUCUUUAAACCUCGCGCUCUCUCUUGUGAAGCCAAUAAGGAAUUAGACUAAAACUGUAAUUCAUCGACUGGCCGCUUGAGGCUGGCUGCAAAAGGGAGUCAGUCUCAUAGACUCCCCAUGUUAAAAUGCCCAACUUUACAGCAGAAAAAACAUGUUUACAGCCUGGUUCAAAAAAUGAUUUUGGUCUAUAUUGCUAAUUUUGCCCUUCAUGACAACUGUGAGGGGGGGUGAAUUUUUUUAUAACUCAUCCGUUUAAAUUAUAUUAAGCCUUAAAAGUUCUGCAUAAUUAAGGGCGUGGCCACUUGAGUGACAGGUGGAUUGCCGCUGCUGACAAUGCCGUCGCACUAGGUGGGCGUGGCUUCAGCAACCAGCUCCCGCCUUUUUGCCCAUUUUCGAUUUUCCGGGAGAGUCGCGCGGUGACGCGCUGCCAAGAUGGUGACGGCCCGCUCUGCACACUUUGAGCUUCAAAAACCGAUAUUGAGUAGUCUAUGGGUGACGUCACGGACACUACGUCCAUAUUUUUUUACAGUCUAUGGUUAU